UCAGGAGAUAAAGUCAUGGCAGGAAGGUAAUGCAGGGAGCUGAGAAUUGUCCUCCAUGGUCAGCAUCAAUUAUUCGGAUGAUAUUGGGCGACAGGAAGAGUCUGACCGGAAGUAUAAAGGGUAUUUUUCUUCCAAGGGUGGAGUACAAAUUCGGAACCCAAAGCUAUGUCAGAAGGUGCUGGGUAACACCAGAAUCCUAAGGUGUCUUUAUCUGUCCAGCAGGUCCAAAGCUGUUUACUUUCUGGAGGGAAUCCAGAACAGAGAAGGACACUGCGCGUCUAGAGGUCUGCUGCUGCUGCUGCUGCUGCAGGUCUCCCUGGAGAACGUGGGACUCAUCACAAUGGCAGGGGAUUGCCCUGCUGGUGAUGGCAAGUUCAACUCCAUUCUGAAGUGCUUUUGGAGAAGAAGUUGAUAAUAAGUGCUAAUUUAAAGCAAGGAGGCUUAAAGGCUACAUACCUGACUUAAUGAGGUAAUAGAGAGAAAGACCAUCCAUGGCUUUUUCUAUGACUACUAUGACACUAUUUGAAAAGGAAUUUUAAUAUAGUUGUUUUAUUUGGGGGAAUGGAGUGGGAGGUCUAUUAAAUCAAUCACUCCCACCCCACUUAGCCCUGAUAUCUUUUUCAGAUGAGAAUAUAUCUCCAUUGAAUUAAUUGAUGAAGGGAAUUUCAAUUAGAUGUCAAAAGAAGGUUGUUUGGUUUGUUUGAGGAAAUUUGGCUACAACCUGUGUGUGGGUUUUAUAUAAAAGAGCAAACAAAUUCAGAAUCCAGGUAAUAUGUUGCCAUGAGAAACUGCUGUAGGAAGAGGGAACAGAAGAAUGGAUAUGACCUCCUG
rnacentral:lncRNA from 1 species